UACGUAGGGACCAAGCGUUGUUCGGAUUUACUGGGCGUAAAGGGCGCGUAGGCGGCAAUUCAAGUCAUCUGUGAAAUCUCCGGGCUUAACUCGGAACGGUCAGAUGAUACUGCUUUGCUAGAGUGCGGAAGGGGCAAUCGGAAUUCUCGGUGUAGCGGUGAAAUGCGUAGAUAUCGAGAGGAACACCUGAGGUGAAGACGGGUUGCUGGGCCGACACUGACGCUGAGACGCGAAAGCGUGGGGAGCGAACAGG
rnacentral:rRNA from 1 species